AGAGUUUGAUCCUGGCUCAGGACGAACGCUGGCGGCACACUUAACACAUGCAAGUCGAACGAGAGAAGAGGAGCUUGCUUUUCUGAUCUAGUGGCGGACGGGUGAGUAACACGUGAGCAAUCUGCCUUUCAGAGGGGGAUACCGAUUGGAAACGAUCGUUAAUACCGCAUAACAUAAUUGAACCGCAUGAUUUGAUUAUCAAAGAUUUAUCGCUGAAAGAUGAGCUCGCGUCUGAUUAGCUAGUUGGUAAGGUAACGGCUUACCAAGGCGACGAUCAGUAGCCGGACUGAGAGGUUGAUUGGCCACAUUGGGACUGAGACACGGCCCAGACUCCUACGGGAGGCAGCAGUGGGGAAUGUUGCACAAUGGAGGAAACUCUGAUGCAGCGAUGCCGCGUGAGGGAAGAAGGUUUUAGGAUUGUAAACCUCUGUCUUCAGGGACGAAAAAAGACGGUACCUGAGGAGGAAGCUCCGGCUAACUACGUGCCAGCAGCCGCGGUAAUACGUAGGGAGCGAGCGUUGUCCGGAAUUACUGGGUGUAAAGGGAGCGUAGGCGGGAUCGCAAGUCAGAUGUGAAAACUAUGGGCUUAACCCAUAAACUGCAUUUGAAACUGUGGUUCUUGAGUGAAGUAGAGGUAAGCGGAAUUCCUAGUGUAGCGGUGAAAUGCGUAGAUAUUAGGAGGAACAUCAGUGGCGAAGGCGGCUUACUGGGCUUUAACUGACGCUGAGGCUCGAAAGCGUGGGGAGCAAACAGGAUUAGAUACCCUGGUAGUCCACGCCGUAAACGAUGAUUACUAGGUGUGGGGGGACUGACCCCUUCCGUGCCGCAGCAAACGCAAUAAGUAAUCCACCUGGGGAGUACGACCGCAAGGUUGAAACUCAAAGGAAUUGACGGGGGCCCGCACAAGCAGUGGAGUAUGUGGUUUAAUUCGACGCAACGCGAAGAACCUUACCAAGUCUUGACAUCCCUUGACGAUGCUGGAAACAGUAUUUCUCUUCGGAGCAAGGAGACAGGUGGUGCAUGGUUGUCGUCAGCUCGUGUCGUGAGAUGUUGGGUUAAGUCCCGCAACGAGCGCAACCCUUAUGGUCAGUUACUACGCAAGAGGACUCUGGCCAGACUGCCGUUGACAAAACGGAGGAAGGUGGGGAUGACGUCAAAUCAUCAUGCCCUUUAUGACUUGGGCUACACACGUACUACAAUGGCGUUAAACAAAGAGAAGCAAGACCGCGAGGUGGAGCAAAACUCAGAAACAACGUCCCAGUUCGGACUGCAGGCUGCAACUCGCCUGCACGAAGUCGGAAUUGCUAGUAAUCGUGGAUCAGCAUGCCACGGUGAAUACGUUCCCGGGCCUUGUACACACCGCCCGUCACACCAUGAGAGCCGGGGGGACCCGAAGUCGGUAGUCUAACCGCAAGAAGGACGCCGCCGAAGGUAAAACUGGUGAUUGGGGUGAAGUCGUAACAAGGUA
rnacentral:rRNA from 1 species